AUUCAGCUGACGAGUCCUAAAUGGAACGAAACGCGUGUCUUCGAU
rnacentral:hammerhead_ribozyme from 1 species